rnacentral:rRNA from 1 species
CCUACGGGAGGCAGCAGUGAGGAAUAUUGGUCAAUGGACGGAAGUCUGAACCAGCCAUGCCGCGUGCAGGAAGACGGCUCUAUGAGUUGUAAACUGCUUUUGUACAAGGGUAAACCUGCAUACGUGUAUUCAGCUGAAAGUACUGUACGAAUAAGGAUCGGCUAACUCCGUUCCAGCAGCCGCGGUAAUACGGAGGAGCCAGGCGUUCUCCGGAUUUAUUGGGUUUAAAGGGUGGGUAGGCGGAUUGAUAAGUUAGAGGUGAAAUGUCCGGGCUUAACUCGGGAACUGCCUCUAAUACUGUUGAGCUAGAGAGUAGAUGCGGUAGGCGGAAUGUAUGGUGUAGCGGUGAAAUGCUUAGAGAUCAUACAGAACACCGAUUGCGAAGGCAGCUUACCAAUCUAUAUCUGACGUUGAGGCACGAAAGCGUGGGGAGCAAACAGGAUUAGAUACCCUUGUAGUC